AGUGAACGCUGGCGGUAGGCCUAACACAUGCAAGUCGAACGGCAGCGCAGAGAAGCUUGCUCCUUGGGUGGCGAGUGGCGGACGGGUGAGGAAUACAUCGGAAUCUACUCUGUCGUGGGGGAUAACGUAGGGAAACUUACGCUAAUACCGCAUACGACCUACGGGUGAAAGCAGGGGAUCUUCGGACCUUGCGCGAUUGAAUGAGCCGAUGUCGGAUUAGCUAGUUGGCGGGGUAAAGGCCCACCAAGGCGACGAUCCGUAGCGGGUCUGCGAGGAUGAUCGGCCACACUGUAAAGGAGACACGGUCCAGACUCCUACGGGAGGCAGCAGUGGGGAAUAUUGGACAAUGGGCGCAAGCCUGAUCCAGCCAUACCGCGUGGGUGAAGAAGGCUUUCGGGUUGUAAAGCCCUUUUGUUGGGAAAGAAAUCCAUCUGGUUAAUACCCGGGUGGGAUGACGGUACCCAAAGAAUAAGCACCGGCUAACUUCGUGCCAGCCGCCGCCGUAA
rnacentral:rRNA from 1 species